rnacentral:rRNA from 1 species
GACGAACGCUGGCGGCGUGCUUAACACAUGCAAGUCGAACGGUAAGGCCCUUCGGGGUACACGAGUGGCGAACGGGUGAGUAACACGUGGGUGAUCUGCCCUGCACUUCGGGAUAAGCCUGGGAAACUGGGUCUAAUACCGGAUAGGACUCCUGGCUUCAUGGUUGGGGGUGGAAAGCUUUUGCGGUGUGGGAUGGGCCCGCGGCCUAUCAGCUUGUUGGUGGGGUAAUGGCCUACCAAGGCGACGACGGGUAGCCGGGCUGAGAGGGUGACCGGUCACACUGGGACUGAGAUCCGGCCCAGACUCCUACGGGAGGCAGCAGUGGGGAAUAUUGCACAAUGGGCGCAAGCCUGAUGCAGCGACGCCGCGUGAGGGAUGACGGACUUCGGGUUGUAAACCUCUUUCAGCUAUGACGAAGCGCAAGUGACGGUAGUAGCAGAAGAAGGACCGGCCAACUACGUGCCAGCAGCCGCCGUAA